AUUGAACGCUGGCGGCAUGCUUUACACAUGCAAGUCGAACGGCAGCGCGGGGCAACCUGGCGGCGAGUGGCGAACGGGUGAGUAAUACAUCGGAACGUACCCAGAAGUGGGGGAUAACGUAGCGAAAGUUACGCUAAUACCGCAUACGACCUAAGGGUGAAAGUGGGGGACCGCAAGGCCUCAUGCUUUUGGAGCGGCCGAUGUCUGAUUAGCUAGUUGGUGAGGUAAAGGCUCACCAAGGCGACGAUCAGUAGCUGGUCUGAGAGGACGACCAGCCACACUGGGACUGAGACACGGCCCAGACUCCUACGGGAGGCAGCAGUGGGGAAUUUUGGACAAUGGGGGCAACCCUGAUCCAGCAAUGCCGCGUGAGUGAAGAA
rnacentral:rRNA from 1 species